CCUGGCGGCGAGUGGCGAACGGGUGAGUAAUAUAUCGGAACGUACCCAAGAGUGGGGGAUAACGUAGCGAAAGUUACGCUAAUACCGCAUACGAUCUAAGGAUGAAAGCAGGGGACCGCAAGGCCUUGUGCUCCUGGAGCGGCCGAUAUCUGAUUAGCUAGUUGGUAGGGUAAAGGCCUACCAAGGCUACGAUCAGUAGCUGGUCUGAGAGGACGACCAGUCACACUGGAACUGAGACACGGUCCAGACUCCUACGGGAGGCAGCAGUGGGGAAUAUUGGACAAUGGGGGAAACCCUGAUCCAGCCAUGCCGCGUGUGUGAAGAAGGCCUUUUGGUUGUAAAGCACUUUAAGCAGUGAAGAAGACUCUUCGGUUAAUACCCGGAGACGAUGACAUUAGCUGCAGAAUAAGCACCGGCUAACUCUGUGCCAGCAGCCGCGGUAAUACAGAGGGUGCAAGCGUUAAUCGGAAUUACUGGGCGUAAAGGGAGCGUAGGUGGCUCGAUAAGUCAGAUGUGAAAUCCCCGGGCUCAACCUGGGA
rnacentral:rRNA from 1 species